CUUCUAGGACAGUGCUCUGCACACCUCGAUCCACAUGCCUUUUCUACUUCUUUUUUUUACACUAUUUGUUAUUUAAUUUCUUUCUCAAAAUUUUUCUAAAACUGAUAUUAAACUUUCGAAUUGUUAUUAAAGAAUAUUUUAAUAAAAGAUCAGAAAGAUUUUUCAUCACUUUGUGUUAAACUUUAUGAAAAUUAAGAUCGUAUCUUCUGCCAUGAUUUUGAUUUCAAUACCCGGUUUGUAGACGACAAUUCAAAAAAUUACUAUUUAUUUAACUGUAAUAAAUAGUCAAACUUUAAUUCAAUGUCAGUAAAUCCUUAUAGAUUCUUCAUUAUAUAUAGGAUGCUGUGGCUGCUCCUAAGUAUAAUAAAAAAUACAAAUAACCUUAUUUGACAUUGAAUGACUAUUAAAAUUAAAUUAGGAAUCCGUAUUAAUUUUUGAGUUAACUUUAGUUCAAUAUCAUCUUAUAAAAAUACCGUAAGUGAUUAUAUAUCAUGAUUAGGAUGCUGUGGCUACUCCUAGACAUAGUUGAUCUCACAAAUCUUUAUAUAAUAUUGAAUGAUUGAAAAUUUCAUUUUAUUCCAAAAUGCAGCGGAAAAGAAUAAAAGUCCAAAAUAAUUUUCUUAACAACCUUAUGUGACUCAAAAUUUAUAAACUGUACGAAGUCUAUAUACCCUAUGCUAAAUUUUUAUAAUCACCUUAUGUUUGUUUAGAAUAAUAACAUAAAAAUAUACCGCAAAAAUUAAUCAAAACACACUUCUUUAUAAUCAUAACAAAAAUA
rnacentral:lncRNA from 1 species